rnacentral:tRNA from 1 species
GCCGGGAUAGAUCAGUUGGUAGAGCAGAGGACUCGAAAUCCUCGUUGUCACCGGUUCAAACCUGGGGCAACGGCCGGGAUAGCUCAGUG